ACGCUCGACACCUACGGGAGCAGCAGUGAGGAAUAUUGGUCAAUGGGCGCUAGCCUGAACCAGCCAAGUAGCGUGAAGGAUGAAGGCUCUAUGGGUCGUAAACUUCUUUUAUAUAAGAAUAAAGUGCAGUAUGUAUACUGUUUUGUAUGUAUUAUAUGAAUAAGGAUCGGCUAACUCCGUGCCAACAGCCGCCGGUAAGUACUGAGCGGGCGUGGCGAAGGC
rnacentral:rRNA from 1 species